UACGAAGGGGGCGAGCGUUGUUCGGAUUUACUGGGCGUAAAGGGCGCGUAGGCGGCUCAUUUUGUCAGGCGUGAAAGCCCCGGGCUUAACCUGGGAACUGCGUUUGAUACGGAUGGGCUAGAGUUCGGGAGAGGAGAGUGGAAUUCCCAGUGUAGAGGUGAAAUUCGUAGAUAUUGGGAAGAACACCGGUGGCGAAGGCGGCACUCUGGGACGGUACUGACGCUGAGACGCGAAAGCGUGGGGAGCGAACAGG
rnacentral:rRNA from 1 species